rnacentral:tRNA from 1 species
GGAAAGUGUUCGCUACACCAAAGCCAGGUCCACAACUUGGUUUCAUGGUGUUCGCCACUCCAUUCGA